GAUGAACGCUAGCUACAGGCUUAACACAUGCAAGUCGAGGGGCAGCGCAGUGUAGCAAUACAUGGGCGGCGACCGGCGCACGGGUGCGUAACGCGUAUCCAACCUUCCCGUUACUCAGGGAUAGCCUUCCGAAAGGGAGAUUAAUACCUGAUGGUGUUCAAAUUCCGCAUGUUAUUUGAACUAAAGAUUUAUCGGUAACGGAUGGGGAUGCGUGACAUUAGGUAGAUGGCGGGGUAACGGCCCACCAUGCCUACGAUGUCUAGGGGUUCUGAGAGGAAGGUCCCCCACACUGGAACUGAGACACGGUCCAGACUCCUACGGGAGGCAGCAGUGAGGAAUAUUGGUCAAUGGUCGGAAGACUGAACCAGCCAAGUAGCGUGAAGGAUGAAGGUUCUAUGGAUUGUAAACUUCUUUUGUCGGGGAGCAAGGGCUCUACGUGUAGAGUGGUGAGAGUACCCGAAGAAAAAGCAUCGGCUAACUCCGUG
rnacentral:rRNA from 1 species